UGCUGGGUUGUUGCGCCCCUUCGGCCUCCUCCACGUCUCCUGAUGUAUUGGCCUGUUUCCUGGUAGCGCCUCUAUGCUCUGGACACAAUGCAGACACACACAGCAA